GUCCUGCCAUAGCACCCUGAAUGUGCUUGGUCUCAUCUGAUCUCAGAAGCUAAGCAGGAUCAGGCCUGGUUAGUAUUUAAAUAGGAGACUCCCUGGGAACACUGGGUGCUGUAAGCU
ensembl:rRNA 5S_rRNA 5S ribosomal RNA